GGGAUGCCUAAGGUAGGACUGAUGACUGGGGUGAAGUCGUAACAAGGUAGCCGUACCGGAAGGUGUGGCUGGAUCACCUCCUUUUAGGGAGACCUAAUCCAUUUAGAAAUCGAGGGUGAUGAAAAUUGCCAAUAGAAACUAAAUUGGUCUAACCUAGGUCGGUCGAGAUUGGGAAAAAUCUUUCAAAGUAUUAUUUCGGCUUAGUUAAAUAGGAAAAAAGACAGCACCUAACUAUAAAAGUUAGAAUGCUGGAUGAAAUUCCAGUCAGAACCUUGAAAACUGCAUAAGAGAAAGAGAAAAAGCACCGCAGACACAGACAUGAGAGUGUUUCGUGGAAGCAAAAGAAAUUGUGGUCAAGCUAAUAAGGGCUAAUGGUGGAUACCUAGGCACACAGAGGA
rnacentral:misc_RNA from 1 species